rnacentral:misc_RNA from 1 species
GAUGAAGAACGCAGCGAAACGCGAUAGUUAAUGUGAAUUGCAGAAUUCAGUGAAUCAUCGAGUCUUUGAACGCACAUUGCGCCCAUCGGUAUUCCUUUGGGCAUGUCUGUUUGAGCGUCAUUACAACCCUCAGCCAACCGCUGGUCAUGAACCUGAACGGGUAAAACCGAGCCGGUUUCAAAGUUGUAAGCUCUGCUGGCCGUUCAGCCCAACCAGAACAUAGUAAAAACACUGCUUGUUAGGGUGAAGCUGGACAGGUGCGGCCUGAAAAAAACCUACCCACUUCUAAGGUUGACCUCAGAUCAGACAAGGUUACCCGCUGAACUUAAGCAUAUCAAUAAGCGGAGGA